rnacentral:rRNA from 1 species
AUGGAUGGCGAAAUGAGUGUCCAACACAAAGUUGACCUAGAGCACAUGCUGCUUGAUCGAAGUGCAGAGCCGACUUACCUGCCGUUAUCCCUUUUAGAAGACAUCACAAACUGUUUCUCUGAUGAUCAGCAAAUUGGCAGCGGUGGGUUCGCGGUAGUUUACAAGGGAAUGGUGGGAAAGGGGAUGGUCGCUGUGAAGAAGUUGUCCAAAACAUUUGGUGUGCAUGAGAAUAAAUUCCAUACAGAGGUUGAGUGCCUAAUGAAGGUCAAGCACAAAAAUAUAGUGCGUUUCCUGGGAUAUUGUUCCGACACGCAAGGGAGAACUGCAAACUAUGAAGGGAAGUUUGUCAUGGCUGAGCUGCGAAACUGGUUGCUAUGUUUUGAGUAUGUUCCGAAUAGAAGCCUUGAUAAGUAUAUUACUGAUGCAUCUCACGGACUUGAAUGGAGGAAGCGCUAUGGGAUUAUCAAGGGAACAUGUGAGGGCUUACUUCAUCUUGACGAGAAACGCAUUCUCCACUUAGAUCUGAAGCCUGAUAAUAUAUUGCUAGAUGAUCAUAUGGUACCCAAAAUUGCUGAUUUUGGUCUAUCAAGGUGCCUUGAUAAAGAGCAAACCCGGGCUUCUACUUCGAACCCAUGUGGAUCAAUGGGAUAUUUGGCACCAGAAUCCUUUGGAGGGAAACUCACAUUCGCGUCAGACAUAUACAGUCUUGGCGUUAUCAUCGUGGAGAUACUAACAGGAGAAAAAGGGUAUCCAGAAGAUGAGGAUGUAGUUGACAAUUGGAUGAAUCGGCUGGAGGCAUCAGACCAAUGGGAGAUACAGUUGGAGCAAGUAAGAGUAUGCACUAAGAUUGGGAUAGAGUGCAUGGACUUGGACCCGAAGAAGAGACCGGUUGCACAUUAUAUAAUUGAUAGGCUUGAUAAAACGGCAAGUAUCAUCAAAACUGGCAUCACUAGUUCAUCAGUUGAGCAGCAGGUCAGCUUCCUAAAGGAACCAUGCCGCGAAGAAAAUUUUCCAAAGCUUUCAUCCAAGUACCUCGGAAAGGAUAUUAAAAAAGACCUUGUAAUGGAAGAAGAAGAACUCACAGAAUGUGUUGGGAUAACCCUCAGAGAAAAAGAAUGUGUUGAGAUAAUUAGAGAAGAUCAUUGGCAGCAAGAACAGGAAGAAGUUAUAGAUGAUAAAUUGUCAUUAUGGGGGCCGCAUGAUACAACGCAAAAUCUCAGCCCACAAGGUGCAAGUUGUUCUAGCUCUAAUGCUGGUGUGCUCAACAAAUUAGACAAUUUGGACCCAUGGUGGAGCAACCCAAGUCCGAGAGCCUGGGCAAGACAUAUAAGCAUCAAACUUAGAACCAUCUGCUCAUAUAUAUCUCUGAAUAACUCACAUCAUCUUGCUACAAACCCAAUGGUGGUUCCUCGGUUGAGCCCCGCCACUGAUUUGGAAAUCAACUCAAAAGCACGCAUGAAUUACGUGAAGUACGGUGGCCCUAUCUUAGAGAAUAUAGAAUGUGUAAAACUUUUCAGAAUAGAGGAGCUCAAGCCAAUUCUAAAGGGUGACAAUUUUAUUGGAAAAGGUCGCUUUGGAGAAGUUUAUGAGGGUCGUGUUGAUAAUGCACGAUUAGCAAUAAGGAAGCUGAUUAGUGGCACUAUGCCACAGGAGGAACAAUUUGUUAAUGAAGUCAUCGAGCAAUCUAAAGUCUGUCACAGAAACAUUGUUAAGCUCAUAGGUAUUUGUCUUGAUGUUGACAUCCCGAUGCUAGUCUAUGAGUUUGUCUCAAAAGGUAGCCUCAAUGACUUACUUCACAGCUACCAUGUGGUGCCUGUCAACUUGGGUGUGCGUUUAAGUAUUGCUGCAGAAUCAGCUUCUGGUCUAGCUUAUUUGCAUUCAAUGGGCAGUAAGAAAAUCUUACAUGGAGAUGUUAAACCAGCAAAUAUACUCUUGGGUCACAACUUUCAGCCAAAGAUCUCAGACCUAGGCACAUCAAGGAUGAUUGCAGGAGACUACGGACACACUGGAAGAAUCGCUCAACACGUCGGUAGAAUGGCUGGUGUCGUCGCUUAUAUGGACCCGGUGUACCUACAAACAGGCCUGCUGACCGAACAAAGUGAUGUCUACAGUUUUGGAAUUGUCAUCUUGGAACUCAUUAGCAGGAGGAAGGCCACAGAGUCUAACAAUAACAGCUUGGUAAGGAAUUUCCUUGAGAAUCACAAACAGGGGAGGAAAGCAACUAAGUUGUUUGAUAAAGAGAUUGCAGUGACAGGAGAUUUGGACCUUCUUGACAGUCUGGCAGAGAUUGCUGUGGAAUGUCUUGACUAUGAUGUGGAAAAAAGACCACGAAUGGUAGAUGUUGAACGGCGCCUUUCCGUACUUAAUCAAUCCCGUUAG